rnacentral:lncRNA from 1 species
GAGACUGUUGGAGGUAUGCCCUAGAGGCAAUCAUAGAGAUGAUGAUAUUCCAUUUGUAUCCAUGAUUUGUAUAUUGUGUUCAUUGAAUAUCCAUUAAAGGCUACUUGAAUUGAAUUGCAAUUAUGUGAAUUGUAUGUGAAACUCUUUACUUGUAUGGUUAUUCUAAAGUUGUCCCUAGUCGGAGUUCAUGUGAGGACACACAUGAAUAUUAGACUAGCACAUGUAUUAGUU